rnacentral:rRNA from 1 species
AAGACCUUGCGCUUUUGGAGCGGCCGAUGUCUGAUUAGCUUGUUGGUGAGGUAAAAGCUUACCAAGGCUUCGAUCAGUAGCUGGUCUGAGAGGACGACCAGCCACACUGGGACUGAGACACGGCCCAGACUCCUACGGGAGGCAGCAGUGGGGAAUUUUGGACAAUGGGGGCAACCCUGAUCCAGCCAUGCCGCGUGAGUGAAGAAGGCCUUCGGGUUGUAAAGCUCUUUCAGCCGGAACGAAACGGUUACGGUUAAUACCCGUGAUUACUGACGGUACCGGAAGAAGAAGCACCGGCUAACUACGUGCCAGCAGCCGCGGUAAUACGUAGGGUGCGAGCGUUAAUCGGAAUUACUGGGCGUAAAGCGUGCGCAGGUGGUUUUGUAAGUCAGAUGUGAAAGCCCCGGGCUCAACCUGGGAACU